AGAGUUUGAUUAUGGCUCAGGACGAACGCUGGCGGCGUGCUUAACACAUGCAAGUCGAGCGAGAGCCGGCUGAGGGGUAACCCUUGGCCGGGGACAGCGGCGAACGGGUGCGUAACACGUGGGCAACCUGCCCCUGACUCUGGGAUAACCCCGGGAAACCGGAGCUAAUACCGGAUACUCUCGGCCAACCACAUGGUUGGCCGAGGAAAGAUCUGUCGGUCAGGGAUGGGCCCGCGGCCAAUUAGCUAGUUGGUGGGGUAACGGCCUACCAAGGCGACGAUGGGUAGCUGGUCUGAGAGGAUGGUCAGCCGGAUUGGGACUGAGAUACGGCCCAGACUCCUACGGGAGGCAGCAAUUAGGAAUCUUGCGCAAUGGGGGAAACCCUGACGCAGCGACGCCGCGUGGAGGAUGAAGGAUUUCGGUUCGUAAACUCCUUUUCUGCGGGAAGAAGACAGUGACGUACCGCAGAUAGCCCGNUC
rnacentral:rRNA from 1 species